AGAGUUUGAUCCUGGCUCAGGGCGAACGCUAGCGGCGCGCCUAACACAUGCAAGUCGUGCGGGAAAGGGCUUCGGCCCUAGUACCGCGGCAGACGGGUGAGUAACACGUGAGCAACCUGUCCCCGGGUCUGGGAUAACCACCCGAAAGGGUGGCUAAUACCGGAUAAAGUCACCGGGCGCAAGCUCGGUGAUGAAAGGGGGCCUCUGCAUAGCAAGCUCCUGCCUGGGGAGGGGCUCGCGGCCCAUCAGCUAGUUGGUGGGGUAACGGCCCACCAAGGCUAUGACGGGUAGCCGGCCUGAGAGGGUGGUCGGCCACACGGGCACUGAGACACGGGCCCGACUCCUACGGGAGGCAGCAGUGGGGAAUCUUGGGCAAUGGGCGAAAGCCUGACCCAGCGACGCCGCGUGGGGGAAGAAGGCCUUCGGGUCGUAAACCCCUGUUCUGGGGGAAGAACCCUGAACGGGUUAAUAGCCCGUUCAGGCUGACGGUACCCCAGGAGAAAGCCACGGCUAACUGCGUGCCAGCAGCCGCGGUAAUACGCAGGUGGCGAGCGUUGCCCGGAAUCACUGGGCGUAAAGGGUGCGUAGGCGGCAGGGCAAGUCGCGGGUUAAAGCCCGGGGCUCAACCCCGGAAAGGCCUGCGAUACUGCCUUGCUUGAGGGCCGGAGAGGCUGGCGGAAUUCCCGGUGUAGGGGUGAAAUCCGUAGAUAUCGGGAGGAACACCGGCGGGGAAGCCGGCCAGCUGGACGGUUCCUGACGCUGAGGCACGAAAGCGUGGGGAGCAAACCGGAUUAGAUACCCGGGUAGUCCACGCCGUAAACGAUGGGUGCUAGGUCUGGGGAGGAAACUCUCUGGGCCGAAGCUAACGCGUUAAGCACCCCGCCUGGGGAGUACGGCCGCAAGGCUGAAACUCAAAGGAAUUGACGGGGGCCCGCACAAGCGGUGGAGCACGUGGUUUAAUUCGAUGCAAAGCGAAGAACCUUACCUGGGCUUGACAUGCCAGGGUUGUACCCCGGUGGAAACACUGGGGGAGCGUGGGUUUUUACUCACGCGCUCUGGCACAGGUGCUGCAUGGCUGUCGUCAGCUCGUGCCGUGAGGUGUUGGGUUAAGUCCCGCAACGAGCGCAACCC
rnacentral:rRNA from 1 species